ensembl:lncRNA
UCAUGAAUACAUAUAUAUUUAUUUUAAUUCAUAAUAUAGCAUUUGGAUGGGUUGGGAUCUUUAGAGAGGGUAAGACUGUGUAAUCCACAGAUGCUCAUAUUUCUGUUACUAGGAGAGACACUAUUGGUCCAGAGCUCCCAGUACAAACAAGCCUGGGGUAAAGCAUUUGAUAAAAAAUAGUCCAACAAUAGUCUAAUAAAUAUUCUAGCCAAUAACAAUAACACAGCAUAUUUCUGAAGCUGGCAGACCACACCAUAAAAGGCAGUUUUGCCGGACCUGAUGGCAAUAAAUCUGGCCAACUUGUAAUACACAGCCAAACACAGCCCAAUGGCUCUGAGGCUGGAAUUGGCUUCAGGAGCUACAAAUAAGUGUGGGAGUGGGUCAUGUCUACCUGCCUCGCAUAUUUCCAUUCCUCGAUGGAAUGGGUUCCAGCAUCUAAGCUUAUUCAAAAGUCCAUCCACGAACUGAUCCAUCCAGGUAGUCAUAUACAAAUAUGUAAACUGAGAGGAUUCACCUAGAAUGUUUGAGCUGAAAAGCAUAUAUAAGUGAUUCUGUUACAAUAUGAACUUCACUGCAUCCAAAGACACACAAUGGAAUUAACAUAAUAAAAACACAGCCAGAUGCAGUUACUCUUAUAAGUAGCAAGAACAUCAAUGUGGCGUUUAAAAUUUCUUUUGUAGUCUCAAAACAAGCUUAGCUUUCGUUUGUGCUUUCUUUAAUAAGACGAUAUAAAAAGUGGAAACAAGCAUAAAUUGCAGACAGAAAAUAAUUUUCUAGGAGAAAAAGUUCAGGAUAGUUAGAGCGAGUAAAGCAACAACCAUGUUAUGGAAUCAUCUUUCUCGAAGAUGCAGAAUGGUCAUGUCCCAUUUGUGCAACUGGCUUUAGCUAGAGUCAGACGCCUCUGGUCCCUGCCAUUGCCAGUGUUCUAGGAAAGUCUUAAGUUUACUGAAGUCAAUAACUGGAACUCACAUAUCCCUCUGAGGGGUUUGCCAUCAUUUUGUUUCUUGGAAUGCAUUUCAUUACGUGCCCCAGAAGUUAGCAUUUCAGAGCCAAGCCUUCUUGUUUCCCACAAACCCCAUUUAAUUUUUCUGUUUAUUCAGUAGGUGUAACUCUGCCUGUACUAAAGCUUAAAUCUACCUUUGAAGAACAACAAUGUUCAUUGGAGUUCAUGAAAAUAUGAGCUAUAACUGGUAGAAUGAUGUCACAUGCUCCAAAGACGAUUCUCCGUAACUGCCAAUCUGCAACAAUGUUCGUUUGUAUGUAUAAGGCCUGGUACAUUUACAAAAUAAUACCAAUACAGACUAAAAAAGUAACCAACUUGCCCCCAAGGAUAACAAAUACCACAAAUGGACAUCACAGUUAAACAGAGCAAUUUUGAUCAUUCAUACAUUCUUUCACAAGCAUUAGCCAGGCAACUACUUUUUUCCAGACACUGUGCUGGGUAUUAAAAAUACAACAAUAAAAGCCACAGC